rnacentral:rRNA from 1 species
AAAUUGAAGAGUUUGAUCAUGGCUCAGAUUGAACGCUGGCGGCAGGCCUAACACAUGCAAGUCGAACGGUAACAGGAAGCAGCUUGCUGCUUUGCUGACGAGUGGCGGACGGGUGAGUAAUGUCUGGGAAACUGCCUGAUGGAGGGGGAUAACUACUGGAAACGGUGGCUAAUACCGCAUAACGUCGCAAGACCAAAGAGGGGGGACCUU